UCUCGGUAGAAGUCGAGUGAUUUUUCUAGCACUCGCGCGAGGUCAGGAAUUGGUUGUAUCCACUUUGAUAACAGAAUGGUGAUGGUCUGUGGACACGGGUCCAUGGGGACGCGUGGUCUACGAGAGAAAAAUUGGAAUAAGGAUUAACGUGCGGAUACCUGUGUCAAGCGUUUGAAUGUACUAAACACAUGCCGAGAAAUAUGGUAAAUCGGUAAGCCUAGUACCUGAGUGAACCUGCCCGCAGACUUUACCCCUCACGCGACCUGAGACGUGGUCUCCCAUUCCGGUUAUGGUGGGUACAAGUGCGGUCACUGCAUGACGGCAGUCGGGGUCAGUGAGGCAUUGUACGCAAAGGCGGUGAGCCCUGAUCUGUUGCCAGGGAAUCGAUGGGGACGGUUGAUAUGUGUGGGGACGGAGUGCCUCGCCACGUCGUGUGUUUAGGUUUACCUUGCAAGGAUAAAAACUCGAUUCGAAUCGUCUGCUUCUCGCAGUUAAUGAGACUGCUUGAUCCAUUGUACUGCAUUGAGUAACAAGUGGAAAUAUGAUGAGUUGGUGUAAGAUGUUGAUUGCUAAUAAUGUUUGCUACUAUGUAUGAGUAGAUAGUACACAUUUAGCCUUAAGAGAGUCACACUUAUAUUGACAAAGCUAAAACUUGACUUAGAAACUCAGCUAGUGCUUUUGGCAACCAAACCCCACAGCCAAACAGCUGCAUGUCUAGAGGUAGAGGAGUAGACUCCUCACAUCGGUUAAGUCUAGCUGAGUAUUAGUAUACUCAGCCUUGCUUGUGGCAUAAUUUUACAGGUUCUCUGGAGGACAUGGUUGCUGGAGUGACUUGGCCGUCCAUCUUGCCACCGGGUUGGACUGUCGAGUGGGACCCUACCUCGGCUGAGGAGGAGCAUGAGGAGUGAUGGGACAGGCUUCCCCAUCUCUCUGUUUAUUUACCGUUAGUUUUAUUCCGCUGCACUUCGAACAAUGAUGACUACUUUUGCAAAACUCCGAUGGUGAUGUAAUAAUUUUAAUACUCUUACAUGCAUGGUUUUAUGCUUUAUUGUAUUUGCUUUGUGACUCACCAUCGAGUGAGAUUGUGGUACUUGAUCCUAUCAGUGGUCGUGUCGGACUAGAUCCGAGGGAUUGACGGGUUAUUCCCAUUUAAGUGUGGUCUAGCCUCUAAGGCGGGGCUUAGGCACUUAAGUUGGAAUAAUUCGGGUAGUUCCGCCACAGCUGGUAUCGGAGCUUGUACCACCACAGAGGAAUCAAUAAAAUAUAAAUACCAUCCUUUUCCGAAGUAAAACUUCAUACAAACAAUGUUGGAUAGAUCGUAGAACGAGCAGGAUAGACCUAGGACGUGAAGCCUUAGGAUGAUAGAAGGGUAGCUAGGUGGCUAAGUGAUUAGGCCCUACAGGCCACCUUAAAGGAUGGGAGUUCUUCCCUAUCCCCUUUUCAUUGAUGUGAGGUCGUUUAGGACGAGCAUGCGUGCAUUCUUAAUUAAGCGAAUGGAUAAUUGAGUAAAGACUUAAAAACAAAAUGAUGACCAACUAAGUAUCCUAAUACCAUUUCUAUAGUUGGAGAGAAGCUGAGUUUUAUUUUUCUUGUUCUUUUUAUAAUUCUUUUUCUUUUACUUACGCUUAACUGUACACAGAUGGCUUCCCACGGAUCCUCAGACGACGGAAAUGCACUGUCCCACACUGAUGGGCUUGCACGAGAGGGCUUUCCCCGCAUUUUGUGGGAGGUACUUCAGGGGGGCGGAUACACGACGCCUCCUCAGUACGCGGUGCAGCAGUUCGAGAAGCAUCGAGUGCCCUGCUGAAGGGUGAGGAUGACCCUGGAGCCUCAUCCCCUACAGCCAGGCUGGCGAUCAUUGGACUCUGAGUCUUUUGGAUACUGGGCUGAGGACACGAUCGAGGCGAUUGCUCUGCACGGGUUGACCACUUCCUGCGGAUUCCAUCCCUUGGAGCUGUCUACCCACCCCAUUGGCUUGUUCCCCGCGGAAAGGGAGGACGACCCAAUGUGGAAGGAUCGGGUGGAGCAUGCCAAGGACAUCUAGGCUAUCUACCCAGGUCAGACUGCGCACUUGACCGUACGGUGCAUGAAUGCUCUGUAUCGUCUGCAAGUGAUGCGCGAUGAGGCGAUGUCCCAUCUGAUGGCACUAUUGGAGGCGACAAAGAUCACUUUGGACAACAGAGAGGAGCUUGUGGUUUAUUUGUCCACUGAGAUGGUGGAAAAAGAUUUGCAGGUGGAGCAGCUAUCCAAUGAGAUCCAAGAGUUGGAGGAAUUAGUGGGUACCAGGGAGAACACCAUCGAGGUUCUCGAGGAUCAGCUCAUUAACACUCAGCAGCAGCUUGCUGAGGCUAAUGAGCACCUGGAUACGCAUCACUAGGAGAUCCAGGAUAUGGAGGCCAACGAGGACGUCGACAUCGAGGGAGGAGAGGAGCCUGCCUCUAGUGUGGACACUGCUGGCUCAGGGAGACCACCUUCCCCCGAGUCGAGUGUUGCCUCGUUCGCUCACUAGGUGUCCGGGAUAGAGUCAGAAGUCGGUGAUGGUAGGACUCCUCGCAGCUAGCUUAGCUUUUGCACCCUUGGGGUACUAGGCUAGAUAGAGUUGAGUCUUUUGGGGACCCUUGAUGUAAUCGUGAUAAACUCUUUUGGAAGCAUGGGUGAUGGAUGCUGUUAGUUUUAAAUUUGGAAGGAAAGUUUAUGCCUUUUGAAAUCCCUUUUUGUUUAUGUCGGAAUCUAUCAAUUCGCCUUUUGACUCUUUCGCCGCGAGUAAACCGUAAACUUGAAGAUGUGUUAUUAAGUAUAUAUGUGGUUUUUCAGAUGGCCGGGAGACAGCGUCGUGGCCAGAAUGAGCGCGUUCCUCCACCGCCACCACCGCCUCCCACUCUGCAGGAGCUAAUGGCUCAGUAGAAUGAGAUCUUGAGGCAGCUAGCUCAGCGUCAGCCACCACCUCAGCAUUAUGGUGGUGGGGACCAUCAGCGUCACCCCGCGGCAGCUACCUACCAGGAGUUCCUCAGUACCCAGCCUCCAUUGUUCACAAGGGCGGAGGACCCACUUGAUGCAGAUGUGUGGUUAAGAGUAGUGGAAUCCAAAUUCCCGCUACUCCAUGGAGCUUGUUCAGAGGUCACUAAAGUCAGGUUCGCCACCCAGCGGCUUCGGGGACCCGCAAGGACUUGGUGGGACCAUUUCCUUGCCAUGCAGCCAGAGGAUCGAGAGGUGGAAUGGAGAGAGUUCAAGGCAGCUUUCCGGGGACACCACAUACCAACCGGGAUUAUGGACCGAAUGCUCAACGAGUUUCUGGCACUCACUCAGGGCAACAAGACAGUGUUGCAGUAUGCUCAGGCUUUUAAUGACCUGUGCCAGUAUGCUGGGUAUCAUGCGGAUACGGACGAGAAGAAGAGAGACAGGUUCAGGAGGGGGCUCAGCACUAAGCUCCGUGACCGUCUCAACACCGUCAGGGCCAACAGCUACAAUGAGUUGGUCAACAUGGCCAUCUCCUAGGAGGACUGCAUCACAGCUCGUCAGGCCGAAAAGAAGAGGAAGACCCAUGUGGCAGGACCCUCAGCUCAGCCACAGCGCUUCAGGAUUGUGUCUGACACUCAGAGCAGGGGACCCCAGCAGCAGCAAGGGAGAUGGGUGAUCCGACCGCAGCAGCAGCAGCAGCAGGCACCCAACUGCACCCAGUUUCCAGCUCAGAGAAACAAUCAGCAGCAGUAGCAAUAUCGCCAGGCAAAUGACAAUAGGUGUUUCACAUGCGGCAACACCGGACACUAUGCCAAAAAUUGCCCCAGGAACCAGCAGAGGCAAGGGCAGAAUGUGAAUCAGAAUCAAGGUAAGAGACAGAAGGUGCAAGUGAGGCAGGGCAGGCUGAACUUCACCACCAUGGCUGAUAUUCUAGAGGGAGCACCCGUCAUGACUGGUAUCUUUACAGUUUUGAAUUAUCCUGCUAUUAUUCUUUUUGAUUCUGGUGCAUCGCAUAGUUUUAUCAGUGCCAAAUUUAGUGUCAAGUGCCAGUUGCCUUUUCACCACAUCAAUGGGGGUAUCACAAUUUCAACACCAAGAGCAGGGUUGCCACCUAUCAAGUCAACGGACAUGUGCCCAUAAAGUUUGGUAGUCUAAUAAUUAAAACCACCCUCCUCAUUUUGGGUUUGGAUAGCGUGGAUAUUAUAUUGGGAACUGACUGGUUAACCAGGCACCAAGCAGUUGCAGCUAGGGCCAUUGAGGUGCACUCACCAACUUGUGGUGAAACUACACUAUAUUUGCCCGACCAGGGUUGUACCCGUUCCUGUGCCUUCGUUAUGAUAGAAUCCCCAGUGGAAAGGAUCCCAGUGGUCUGUGACUACCCAGAUGUUUUUCCAGAGGAAUUGCCAGGGAUGCCGCCUAACCGAGACAUUGAUUUCGCCAUCGAAUUGCAACCUGGGACUGCUCCUAUCUCCAAGAGACCCUAUAGGAUGCCUCCUGCGGAAUUGGCAGAACUGAAAAAGCAAAUGCAAGAGUUGUUGGAAAAGGGGUUCAUUCGCCCAGGUACUUCACCAUGGGGAUGCCCAGCCUUAUUUGUGAAGAAGAAGGAUGAGAGCUUGAGGAUGUGUGUUGACUACCGCCCUCUCAAUGUGGUGACUAUCAAGAACAAAUACCCACUGCCCCGCAUUGAUGUUCUGUUCGAUCAGUUGGUAGGAGCCAAGGUAUUCUCCAAGAUAGAUCUUCGCUCAGGUUACCAUCAGAUCAAGAUCCGUGCCAGCGAUAUUCCCAAGACGGCCUUCUCAACCAGAUAUGGGCUUUAUGAGUUUUUGGUGAUGUCUUUUGGGUUGACCAAUGCCCCGGCUUAUUUCAUGUACCUGAUGAACUCAGUAUUUAUGCCAGAAUUGGACAAGUUCGUGGUCGUUUUUAUUGAUGAUAUUCUGGUUUAUUCCAAGAAUGAAGCCGAGCACACCAAACAUUUGCAUACUAUGCUUCAGAGACUGCGUGACCAUCAGUUGUAUGCUAAAUUGUCUAAAUGUGAAUUCUGGUUGAAGGAGAUUAAAUUCUUGGGUCACACAAUUUCUCAGGAUGGGAUAUCAGUUGAUCCUGAGAAGGUACAAGAGGUAAUGGAUUGGAAACCCCCGACUACAGUGAGGCAAAUUCGGAGUUUUCUGGGAUUGGCAGGGUAUUAUCGACGAUUUAUUCCGGAUUUCUCCAGAAUUGCCAAACCAAUGACUGAACUGUUAAAGAAGGGAGUCAGGUAUGAUUGGAGCCAAAAGGCCGAAGAUGCCUUUCAUACUUUGAGGCAGCAUUUGACAACAGCCCUAGGGCUGGCUCAACCUGAUAACACCAAGCCAUUUGAAGUUUAUUGUGAUGCUUCCGGUACUGGAUUGGGAUGUGUCUUGAUGCAAGAUAACAGAGUCAUUGCUUAUGCUUCCCGAGCACUCAGGCCCCAUGAGCAGAACUACCCUACACAUGAUCUGGAGUUGGCAGCUGUGGUUCAUGCUCUUAAGAUAUGGAGACACUACUUGAUGGGGGCUCACUGUAACAUUUACAUUGAUCACAAGAGCCUCAAAUACAUUUUCACUCAGGCAGAUCUGAACAUGAGGCAGAGGAGAUGGUUAGAAUUAAUCAAGGACUAUGAUUUGGAGGUGCAUUACCAUCCUGGCAAAGCCAAUGUUGUGGCAGAUGCCUUGAGCAGAAAGGCCCAGUGCAAUUGUAUGAGCAUGGAUGCAAGAGUUACCACCCUGUGCGAUGAAUUGUGCAAGCUGAAUCUGGAAGUUAUUUCUUCAGGUGACUUAAGUUAUAUCUCGGUAGAGCCCAUGUUGCAAGAGCAAAUAGUCAGGGCACAGAUUGAAGAUAAGGGUGUUCAGGUUAUCAAAGAAAUGAUCAAGCAGAAGGCAGAGAAAUACAAGUGUUUCCGUCAGGACAGUAAGGGAAUUUUAUGGUUUGGAGAUCGAUUGGUUGUUCCCAAGGACCCUGAGCUCAGAAAGAAGAUACUGGAUGAAGCUCACCUUUCCAAAUUCUCCAUGCACCCGGGUAGCAACAAGAUGUACCAUGAUCUUAGAUCCUUAUACUGGUGGACCAGGAUGAAGAGGGAAAUUGCCAAGUAUAUAUCCGAGUGUGACACCUGCCAGAGAAUCAAAUCUAGUCAUUUGAAGGCAGCAGGCCCUUUGCAACCCCUUCCCAUACCAUCUUUGAAAUGGGAGGACAUUUGCAUGGACUUUAUCGUGGGAUUGCCCAAUACCUCCGGACACCAUGAUUCUAUUUGGGUUAUUGUGGACAGAUUGACCAAGACUGCUCAUUUCUUACCAGUGCAUAUCACCCACAAGACAGAGAAGUAUGCAGAAAUUUAUGUUGAUCAAAUAGUGCGAUUGCAUGGUAUUCCAAAGACCAUUAUAUUUGACAGAGGAGCACUGUUUGUGGCACGCUUUUGGGAGCAGCUGCAAGAAUCACUUGGGACCCAAGUAAUACGAAGCUCAGCAUACCAUCCCCAAACAGAUGGCCAGACGGAGAGGGUAAAUCAGAUUUUGGAAGAUAUGUUAAGGGCCUAUGCACUACACUACGGAAAGGAUUGGGACAAAUGUCUUUCCUUGGCAGAGUUUUCUUACAAUAACAGCUACCAGUCCAGUCUAAAGAUGGCACCUUUCGAAGCUUUGUAUGGGAGAAGAUGUAGAACCCCGCUAAAUUGGUCUCAAGCAGGAGAAAGGGAAAUAUUUGUGCCAGAUUUGUUACUAGAGGCAGAGGAAAAGGUCAGGGUUAUUACAAAGAACUUAGAAGCUGCUCAGGCCAGGCAAAAGAGCUAUCAUGACAAGAGGCGGAAGCCUCUACAGUUUGAAGUGGGAGAUCAUGUUUAUCUUAGGGUAUCACCCACCAAGGGUGUCCAGAGAUUCAGAAUCAAGGGCAAGUUAGCUCCUCGCUACAUUGGACCCUACGAGAAAAAAGCAAGUUGUGGACCCGUAGCCUAUCAAUUGGAAUUGCCACCUCACAUGUCAGUAGUUCACAAUGUGUUCCAUGUAUCUCAGCUGCGGAAAUGUGUUCGCCUACCCACUGAAGUGCUACCGGAACCGGACAUUGAGAUAGAACCAGACUUGUCCUAUCAAGAGUACCCCGUCAAGGUAUUGGAUCAGAAAGAGAGAUCAACACGGGCAAGGUCAAUCUGAAUGUAUAAGGUUCAGUGGAGUCACCAUUCAGCAGAAGAAGCUACAUGGGAGACUGAGGAUUUUCUACGCUCCCGCUUCCCCGACUUUCUGCCCAAAGGAGUCGGUAUGUAACCCAAAACCCCCACCCCCACCUGCCCUUUGAAUACAAUUAUAAGGAAAACUUAGAUAACAAGGAUAGUCUAAGUUGUGGAUUUAGCUUAAAAAGGGCUUCCUUCUGAAGUUGCAAAGAGAAUGACAUUCGAAGAGCAGUUAGCAAGAGAAACUUAAGUAUAAGAAAGAGUAGCACACCACCGUGCCUUAGUAGCACCCCUCUAGAGGACUCUGCCUAAAAUCUCGGGACGAGAUUCCUUUAAGGGGGGAGGGCUGUAACACCUCAGGUGUUACCAUGGCUAGAGCACACCUUGGUACUAAGGACUGUGAUCACAUGUGGUAGAAACUUAAGGAGAACAUAAGAACCUUGGAGACCAUGUGUUAACCAAGAUUGCUAAUGACCUAAGAAGCAUCACUCAAGCUUUUGUGCACUUACUACCUUGGGCAAGAGGAGGGAAAACCCUAGACCUCUCUUGAACCCUAUCUUCCAAAACCAUGGUUGAGAGGGGGAGAGAAUAAGCAAUUGUGCAAACCCUGAGUUAAUCAUUAACCAAAUUUAAGUAACUUUUUAACCAGCAUAUGUGGGAAGGAAAUGUUGCAAAAAGACCCCUAGAGAAACCCCAAAUCCAUUCCCUAAGUGGAGAGAGAACUAGAGCUCUCUAUUUCUCUCUAAGUCAAAAACUACACCUACACUAAAGAUCAACCGUGUUCACCUUGAAGAUGGCACCAAAACCACCUAUGUUCUAUACCAAAAAUGUGGCAUACCACCUAGGGCACCCACUGGAAAAAGUUGAGCCCGAGACCUUGACAUUUGACAUGCCUUGGCAUGGUUUUUGUCGCGAGGUGGGCAGAGUGGCAUACCUGAUUUGGCGACCGAAGAUCUCCCUACCUAGGCCAUAUCUGCCAUGGCGACUCACGGAUGAGAGACAGCCCUAGGUGCCAGGAAAAGACUCGCGCCGGAUUUUUGCCAAGAUUCGCACGUUUGCGACUUGGGCGAGCUAUGGAACACGGGCAGAAGAAAAGCUCCACGUGUUCGACGCGCUCUGUGCACGCCAGAGCACGCCCGCGCGUGCCCCGCGUCGCGCCAAAGGCCAGCCGACGCCAUGGCCCGCGCCCGCGCCUAUAAAGCCCACUCAGGCGUCGACCACACUCUUCCGCGCACGCUCUAACCUCACCGGAGCUCAACUCACUGUCGUUUGCCCGUGCACGGCGUGUCCGCGGCCACCCGAGCCCCUGCAGCCGUAGACCAGCCAGCCCAGCCUUUCCCAACCCCGUCCAGCCCUUGGAGAAGAUUGAGCACACCUCGGUGAAACUCCCCGAGCGAGGAAUCGAAGUCUGCUUCACCGGAGAGGCCAGUCCACGGUCGCCGGAGUUCACAACCCCGCCGGAGUGCGUGGACCGGGUAAUCCGCUGAACCAUUUUCCGAUUCCUUGAGCACACAGUCUCUACAUCACCCCGUGAAGCUCACCGUGCCUUUGGAUUGAACCAGAUCGCCGUGAUUUGGCCGGCACACCCGCCACCGACGAGGACACCCGCAUGCGCACGUGGACCGAGCGAUUCCGGCCAUCCCCGCCGUCGAGCCGCACAUCGCUGUGACCGCCAGAGCCUCCCCGAGCCAACCCUGCCCCUCGCCGGACCUCCCUCGCCGCCGGUAAGCCGCGCCACUCUUUUAUUUCUUGCGGGUACUGUUUAAACCUAGGGAAGGACCGCGGGGGAGAAGGAAAGAAGUCUGGGGGGUUUUGUGAAAUGUCAGAGACUCAAAUGAAUAGUAGCGCGGGGGUAUAACUGAGAGAGUUAGUUUGGAAAUACCCCAGGGUCCUCGGUGUAAACUGCUUUUCUAGGAAACCUUUAUUAAAUCUGAUUUUAAAUUUGAACAGAACUUGAAUAAUUCAUAACUUCUGUUUUAUUCAUCCAAAUUUGGUCAAACCAAUUUUGUCAGACUUUAAAUAAGGUAAACUACUUAGGAAAAAUAUAAAACCCUUAUGUACCACAGAAAACUUUAGGGUUCUGAUUUAAUUUUUGUUUUGGCCAAAAGCUAGUUAAUAAGAAGAAAAAUAGUUACACUAUUUGACUAGGGUUAGGAAAAUUUUGAGAAGUUUAUAUCCACCUACUGACCUGUUAAAAAUGCUAAAACUCUCUGUCUACCCCAUUAAGUUAGUUUUUGCCAAUUAUUUCACAAUGUGCUUAAGGUUAAGAAAAUAGAAAAGAUGAUUUAAAUAAUGAACCAGAGGGCACCCUUAUUUUUGUUAGAGUACUUAUUCAAUGUAGUUUACUAGAAAAAUCUAUUAUACCUUGGUUUAGUAUGAAAUAAGUAGGAUCCUUUUUAUUUUAAGAAAACAAGGAAAACUUAGAAAAACCCUACAAAAAUAACCCCAAGGUGAAAACACCCCAACCCUUGGGAUAAUUAAUACUUUGUCAUUAAGAACUUAGGAAAAAUAUGAAAUCUGCUGUUUGACAUUUUUCAAAUAACAAUAUAGUAGAAAGUGCCUUUUGGCAUUUAACUUUAGAAAAUCACAACUAAAUGACCAUCCCUUAGCUUUCUGUGAUUUUUGGCACAGAAGCCUAUUAUUACUGUUAGAUGCCAACAAAAAUAACCCUUAGGGCAGAACCCAACUCUAAUUAAGAGGUGUAGUGCAAAGUGGCCCAUUUUACACAACUUUUGCUAUUUUUGUCUAAAGCAUAGCCUUUUUGUUUUAAACCUCAAAUUCCUAGAACAGGCUAUAAUGACCAAUGGCAACCCACUGUAAUUUUUACAGAAUUUUUGGAAAAUAUUAAACCACUGUCAUAGUUCAAAUCUACAUUAGAAACCUGUUGGGGACUUGUUCUCAAAUGCUAAGAGUUAAGAACAAGGCAACAUAAAAAGUGUUAAGUGUUAAAGUCCUUCGUCCCUCGAAGCAUUAUGUCCCCUUCGGGAAAUAAUGAGUCUGGGACGAAGGUCAUAAGAGAAAUACCUUCGCAAACAUAACAGAUAAUGACGAAGGAUUUAUAUAAAGCAUGAAAUAUAAUAUAAGCAUCAUCGCAGAAUCAUUUCUAUUUUAUUAACAUGGAAAAAUAGAAAUGAUUUCAAAUUACAAAUGUACCUUCGGUCCUGAGAGAAGGUAGAAAGUACAAGCGUGACGCAAAAGCAAAUGCCAAGUCAGCGUGAACAGUAUGGGAGUACUGUUCAUCUAUUUAUAGACGCGGGACGCAGCCCACGUAAAAUUACAUCCAUGUCCAUUACAUUUGUUAACGGCUUAUGGAAAUCUGUCGAGGCCCCCGAAGUCUUUUCAUCUUUAAGUCGGUUCCCCCUUCUGCCAUCGCGCCGAAGCUUCCCUGCGCACAGCUUCGGCUACACUCGACCUUCGUCUGGUUCAGGCUUCGUCCUGGCCGUGCUCCAUAUUCAUAAUUCUGGAUCCGAAAAUACCUGUUCACAUAAUCCACUCGGAAAACAUUGUCAAAUCAUGUUUUUGAGGACCUUCGGAGGACGAAGGCCCCCAACAGUAGCCCCUCGCAAUAUUAAUUUGUAAAUAAUAAAUUCAGAUUGCGAUAUGGACGAAGGCCUUGAGCCGAAGGUCCGAAAAAACACCUUCCCUUUGCUAGAAUAGCAACAUCUACUGACAAGCGGGGCCUUUCAAUUUUCAACGCCCUAGGCGUAUAAAUAAGAUCACAUCGCGAACUGAUUUGGUACGCACACUUGCCCUCUGCUUCGACCCACUAAAAUUUUUAGCUCCUGCGCACUAAGAUUUGCUGAUCUUUUAGCUUUGAAGCUUCGGCUUUUAAAAACAGUUUUUUAGCGCUUCCGAAGAUGUCUGAAGCUGCUAAGAAGGCUGCUGCUGAGAUGAAGCUGAGUCUUGAUGAAGAGAAGAACCUAGGGUUUCUUAUAGCGAUGUCGAAGUCCAACACAGAAAAGAUUACCAAGGAAAUUCUGGAGGGGUUGUCUGAAGAUACUGGUGACAGUGAAAGUUAUGAUAUAGACAGUAGUGGCGAAGACUCCGAAGAUCGCCCCUGGCGACCAAGCCAUUCAGUUUAUGGUAAAUCAACUAUCAAAGAGAAUCAUCUUGUUAAUAUGAGAGGAAGGUAUUUCCGGGAUCUGUCCAUUGUGAGGGCGGACGAAGGGGAAAAAACUUGUCCACACCCUGAAGAAAAUGAAGUUGUGGUGUACCGAAGCUUUUUGAAAGCUGGAUUGCGAUUCCCCUUGAGCAGCUUCGUCGUGGAGGUGUUGAAAAUCUUCGAAGUCUAUCUUCAUCAACUUACUCCCGAGGCAAUUAUAAGGUUAAACAUCUUCGUGUGGGCCGCGAGGAGCCAAGGUCUGAAGCCUGACGCAAGAAGCUUCUGUAAUGUUCAUGAAUUAUUAUAUGAAACAAAGCCUUGGGGCAAAGAACAGUACCAUAACAACUUUGGCUGCUACAGCUUCGUUUCUCGGUCCGGGGCAAGCUGUCCCGUACCAACCUUUCGGAAGAGAUGGCCCGGGGAUUGGAUGACAGAAUGGUUUUAUGUGAAGAAUGACUUAUCAGCACGAGAAGAUAUCAAAGGUAUAAUUAUGCGUCCUAUUUGGCAAAGCUUCGGCCUUCGGAGGCCGAAGGUUGAAAUGAACGAAGCCGCCGAAGAGUGCCAAAGAGCCUUCGGCAUUGUCUGUUCUUUUAUAGGAACAAGGGACUUAGUGCAAGAACAUAUCGCCUUCAGGGUGUGGCCGCUUGCUGAGAAAUGGGAAAUGCCACAAGAAACCAUAAAAGAGGCCGACGAAGGUGGGCUUGUGAGACUGAAGUACACCUUCAAAUUUGGAGAUAAAUUUAUUGAGCCAGAUGAUGAGUGGUUGAAAAGCAUUGACAAUUUAAGUGAUGAGCUACUCGGGACCUACUCGAAGGCCGAAGAUAAUGCAAUGUCAGCAGCCUUCGGAGGCCGAAAAAAGAAGAGACUGAAUCGGGUAUUUGAUGCCAUUGGGUUUGUCUACCCUGAUUACUGCUAUCCCAUUCGAAGGCAGAAGAGAAAAAACACAAUCUCUGCAAAAGAAGAAGCUGCAGCUGCUCCUAGCGAGCCAGAACCGAAAAGGAAAAAGAUAAAGGUUCUUACGCAUCGGCCGCGUUAUAUUGAACCAGCUUCGGUGCCUGAGUUCACCGGAGAAGCUUCUUCGGCCACCGAAGCUGAACAGCCAACCUUGCUGCCAGAAACUGCAGAGAUGGCCGAAGCACCAUCCACAGAAAAAAUGGAAGAAGCGAAAAAGCCGACUAAGGAAAAAACAUUAGAAGUUUUGAGUCCUGCAGUAAAUAUUGAAACAGCAAAAAACCAAAAGGGGCCAUCAGUGACCCCAAAAAGGAAAAGAAUGGUAAAUGUACUAGACGUCUUGGAGACAAUUAAUUCUUCAAGCACAAUUCCAAAAAAGAGUGUUGAAGUUGCUGAAGCUUCUACUGAAGCUUCGGCUCAACAAGCUGAAGCUGAAGCUGGGCCUUCAGAGCCCUACAAGAAGCAACCUUUUGAAGCCGAAGCAAUAAAAAUUCCAGAACCAGUAUUAGUUGAAGAAACUGACACCGCCAUCCCCGAAGCACCUGCCAGCAUGCGUGAUUACAUGAUACGACAUGCUUCGGGGAAGAAGCUAUCUGAAGAAGAAACUCAUGAAGCCAUCCAUUAUGCAAAGGAACUAAAAUAUCCGAAGGGGGCAGUAAUAUUCAAUGGAACGAAUGAAGAUGACUUCUUAUACUGCCUGCCUGACAACAAAGAGCUAUCUGUCUGCCGAGAAAUGGCCAGAAGUAUUGGUUUCCCGAAGCUUGAAUCUGGAUUAAGCGCCAUGACGAAAGAAGAUCUCGCAGACAGUCUUGCGUACAACAGCCUGAAGGUAUAGGAAUUAAACACUUGAAAAACCCCCUUAUUUUUACGCAACUCAUUCCUUUUUUCUUAUAUGAAUUCUUUUUCGUAUAGGGCCUGAUCCUAAGCAACGCACUAAGAGCCCAAAAGAGCGCCGAAGAUGAAAGCUAUGAAAUUGCGUUUAAUAAUUUACGCUCCGAAGUUAUCAGACUGAGAAACGAAGCUUUGGAAAAAGAUAAAAUUCUGCUUACACUGGUAGAUAAAGUGAAAAAAGACGAAGCUGCUUCAAAGGCCCAGGCCGAAGCUCAAAAACGCGAGAUUAAAGAUCUUCAGAAACAGCUGGCUAGAGCUAAAGAGGAGCGCGCGCUUGAGGAAACGAAACGAGAACUUAGUGAUUUUAUGGUCAGCAAAUUGGAAUCAAAAGUUAAGGAGCUUCGCACAUCUCAGAGGAAAUGCUAUGUCAAAUCUGUAGAAUGCGUGAAUAAAAUUAAAUCCAGCUUCGCCAGCGUAGGCGCCUUUUCCAGCGAAGAGAAUUUCUCUCGAGGCAAUCCCGAAGGUCCGCUGGAGUGGAUUAGCCACGAAGCAGAGGCCUUCGAAGAGAUUCUGAACAGUCGUGGCGACAUAUGCGCUUUUUCGGGCGCCAGAGGAAUUGCUUCUGUCUUAGAGAAGAAAGGUUGCGGGCAUGUAAAAUUUUUAGCUCAAUCCGAAGCUACCUUAUCUUCCGAAGACGUCAAGGACCCCUCGGCCGAAGCAAGCGUGGUUGGUGGCAAAUUUUUUACUGAUAUCUGGAACGACGGCGGCCGAGGAAUGGCGCAAGAGAUCAUCCAAAGAAGCGAAAAAGGCAUUCAUGACGCCAGAAAAGUGGCAGAAGCUGCCGAAAGGAGUACAGAGCCCGAAAGGCAAUUAGGUACCAAUUAGUCGCUCUUAUUGUGUUGUAAUUUUUAUUCCAAACUUUGCUCAAGGUUUGCAAAAGUAAUGAAGAAAUGUUCUCUUCCCUCAGAAACUGCUGGAUCAAAUGUCGACGAAGAAAUUAAACAAAUGGCCAAAACUAUCUUGGACAAGGUUGUUGACCAAUUUCUAAAUGAGGCCGCCGAAGAAGUAUUGAGAGAAGAUUAGAUGCUAUUUGGAAAAAUCAUUUAAAAUGUAAUCUAUGUAACACUUUGUACAUUUGAAUGUAAUAUACAAAUCUCCUUUCAUUAUUGAAUUCUUUACGAUGCAUGAAACAUUAAAUACAUACCAUUUUUGAGCCUUUGGCGAAAAAACACCUUCCCUUCUUUUCAUGCUUCGUGAAGAAGGCAUUCUCCGUUAAAAUUAUUCUGAUGAAUCACAUCCAUGCUUCGUCAAAACAUUCUUCGAAGCUAAACUCCGAAGCUACACAACUUCGAUAUUGAUCUGAUAAAGCUCGCCCAUGUUUCGUAAAAAUAUUCUCCGAAGCUGUAUUCCGAAGCUGUACAAUUUCGAUGUCACUUUCUCAAAGCAUCCUUUCGAAGGUUGAGAGUAUCUCCUUCUCUUGCCAAAUGCAACAUGAUGUAUGAUGCUUAUGCUAUGCAAAAUGAUGUGAUGAUGUUAUGUUAUGCAUGUGACAUUUGUUCCGGAGAUACACAUAAAAUAUAUUCGUAAGCUCUGCAUUCCCUUGGGAACGUCUUUGGAGCUUCUUCGUCUUUUACUUAGACGGUAUCAGCGUUGACUUUUCGCUGUAAGCCUCCCUUAGGAGCUUCUUCGCCUUUUACUUAGGCGGUAUCAGCGUUGACUUUUCGCUGUAGGCUCUGCAUUCCUUUAGGAACGACUUCUGAGCAGAAAACUUACACUGCGCUCCCUUUGGAACGGCUUUUUGUGACUUCAUAAACUUACUCUGCGUUCCUUAGAACGACUUUCUGUUACUCCGAAGGAUUUUUAAUCCGAAGGUCCUCCUUGGUAACGGAAAAAGUUUUAGGCUUCAGCAACUUAGGCCUGUGGAGCAAAUAGAUUUUCCUCGUGGGAAACAACGAAAUUAUUACAUGAAAACUAUCAAUGUUUUUUGCUUCACAGAAAAUAAAACUGAAUAGAAAAGACUGCUAUCAAAGGUAGGAUAUGUCAAUAAAUGUGCUUCGACUCUGGCACAGUGCUGUUGACUGUGCGAGCUUCGGACUGUUCUCUGAAGUCCCUCUGAUGUGGAGCGUAUUGACUCCCUUCUGGCUGUUGACCUUGCUGCAAUGGAGGUGGAGGCGGAAGCUGCUGCCAGGAAGCUUGAGGUUGACUUGCCGAAGCUACAGAAGCCGCAGGGUGGUUGUCUAUGUAUUGUGGGACAUAAGGCGGAUGAAACGAAGCAGUAUGCAUAACCUGCUUCGACUGAGCUUGUUGAGGUGCAGCUUCGGCUAGUUCCUUUUGCUUCUGGAUUGUAACAUGGCACGUCCUAGUGGUGUGGCCCUUGCCCUCUCCACAGAAUAGGCAAAACAGUCUCCUUGGCUGAUCUCCGAAUCUUCCGCCGAAGCCCCUGGCGCCUCUGCCUCUUGGAGCUGGUGGCCGAAAGAAAGUUUGUUGUUGCCCCGAAGCCUGUGAGGAGCACUGCGGCCUGUUUUGCUGACUCCCCUUAUCAUCAUUCUGAGUGUUGUGAAUGGAACGGACAUGCCUCGGGUAGUAUCUUCCUCCGAAGCCCCUGGUCAUCUCAGAAAAUCUGAAGGCCUCCUCCCUUCUUUGGCGAAAGUCAUUGUCAGCACGAAUGUACUCAUCCAUCUUUUGGAGCAAUUUCUCCAAGGUCUGAGGAGGCUUCCGAGCAAAGUAUUGAGCUGCAGGUCCAGGACGGAGCCCCUUGAUCAUGGCUUCGAUAACGAUUUCAUUGGGCACCGUUGGUGCCUGCGCCCUCAAUCGUAAGAACCUUCGGACAUACGCCUGAAGGUAUUCUUCGUGAUCCUGAAUACACUGGAAGAGGGCUUGAGCUGUAACCGGCUUCGUUUGAAAUCCUUGAAAGCUGGUCAGUAACAUAUCCUUCAGCUUCUGCCAUGAAGUGAUUGUUCCUGGCCGAAGGGAGGAAUACCAGGUCUGAGCAACAUUCCUGACGGCCAUGACGAAAGACUUCGCCAUGAUUGCAGCGUUGCCCCCGUACGAAGACACUGUUGCUUCGUAGCUCAUCAAGAAUUGCUUCGGGUCGGAGUGGCCGUCAAACAUGGGGAGCUGGGGUGGCUUAUAGGAUGGAGGCCAAGGUGUAGCCUGCAGCUCAGCAGACAGAGGAGAAGCAUCAUCAAAAACAAAAUUUCCCUGAUGGAAAUUAUCAUACCAGUCGUCUUCGUUGACGAAGCCCUCCUGAUGGAGGUCUUUCUGAUGAGGCCUUCUGUUCUGCUCAUCGUGAGUGAGAUGGCGAACUUCCUCAGAAGCUUCGUCAAUUUGCCUUUGCAACUCAGCUAGGCGGGCCAUCUUCUCCUUCUUCCUCUGCACUUGUUGAUGUAGCAUCUCCAUCUCUCUGAUUUCUUGGUCUAGCUCUUUUUCCUCAAGCGUCGGGCUAACAGCUUUUCUCUUCUGGCUUCUGGCCUCCCGAAGAGAGACGGUCUCCUGGUUGUGGUCCAGCGGUUGUAGUGCUGCAGCCUCAGCCGCUGAAGCUUUCUUCGGCGCCAUAGCGAAGGUCUAUAGCUUCCGAAGGUGUUCACGAAGACUCGAAGUGGAAGUGAGUUCACCGGAGGUGGGCGCCAAUGUUGGGGACUUGUUCUCAAAUGCUAAGAGUUAAGAACAAGGCAACAUAAAAAGUGUUAAGUGUUAAAGUCCUUCGUCCCUCGAAGCAUUAUGUCCCCUUCGGGAAAUAAUGAGUCUGGGACGAAGGUCAUAAGAGAAAUACCUUCGCAAACAUAACAGAUAAUGACGAAGGAUUUAUAUAAAGCAUGAAAUAUAAUAUAAGCAUCAUCGCAGAAUCAUUUCUAUUUUAUUAACAUGGAAAAAUAGAAAUGAUUUCAAAUUACAAAUGUACCUUCGGUCCUGAGAGAAGGUAGAAAGUACAAGCGUGACGCAAAAGCAAAUGCCAAGUCAGCGUGAACAGUAUGGGAGUACUGUUCAUCUAUUUAUAGACGCGGGACGCAGCCCACGUAAAAUUACAUCCAUGUCCAUUACAUUUGUUAACGGCUUAUGGAAAUCUGUCGAGGCCCCCGAAGUCUUUUCAUCUUUAAGUCGGUUCCCCCUUCUGCCAUCGCGCCGAAGCUUCCCUGCGCACAGCUUCGGCUACACUCGACCUUCGUCUGGUUCAGGCUUCGUCCUGGCCGUGCUCCAUAUUCAUAAUUCUGGAUCCGAAAAUACCUGUUCACAUAAUCCACUCGGAAAACAUUGUCAAAUCAUGUUUUUGAGGACCUUCGGAGGACGAAGGCCCCCAACAAAACCAUAAAUAUAAAAUAAAGAAAGGAAAAAAUGAAUAAGAGGAAAUUAGUGUCAUCCUAAAACCCAUUAUAACUUGUCCACUGAAAUAUAUAAAGGCAAUACCAAUUCCCUAUGCCUAUCCCUAGCAAAACCUAAACCUAGAAGUAAUAAGCAUAAACCAUUAAAAGCCACGUAUGACACAGAAACCCUAAGUCACUCAAUUAACUUAGUUUUUCUUCUCUUAGCAUAAUGUUAUUAAAUCCUGCAUAAUCAUGACAUACAUGUUCAUUGCAUUUCGAUAGACUGUAACCUUGCUGACGGAGAGUACAUCCUCAUGCCGGAGCAAGGAGCUGCUCAGGAGGUAGCCCCGGAUCCAGCACCCGAGUCUGCACCAGAGGAUCUGCCUGCCACAGCUUUGAAAGGCAAGCCCCGGUUUUAUGCAUAACCGUUAUAUAUGCUAUUUUACUGCACUUAAUGUUUGUAGGCUUGUAUUGUGCACUUAAGUGUAGGAGUUGACUGAAACCCUAGUUGCAUGAUCUCAGGAAUCCUUUUUGGAGAUGGAUACUAGUAUGCUAGGUCGAGUAGCUGCUCUGCUAAUUAGGGAUCUCGGUAGAAGUCGAGUAAUUUUUCUAGCACUCGCGCAAAGUCAGGAAUUGGUUGUAUCCACUUUGAUAACAGAAUGGUGAUGGUCUAUGGACACGGGUCCAUGGGGACGCGUGGUCUACGAGAGGAAAAUUGGAAUAAGGAUUAACAUGCGGAUACCUGUGUCAAGCGUUUGAAUGUACUAAACACAUGCCGAGAAAUAUGGUAAAUCGGUAAGCCUAGUACCUGAGUGAACCUGCCCGCAGACUUUACCCCUCACGCGACCUGAGACAUGGUCUCCCAUUCCGGUUAUGGUGGGUACAAGUGCGGUCACUGCACGACGGCAGUCGGGGUCAGUGAGGCAUUGUACGCCAAGGCGGUGAGCCCUG
rnacentral:lncRNA from 1 species